AACAGAUUCACCUGGAUAUCGCACAAGCUUCUUAAAUUUAACUUUGCCAAAACAGAAAAAAUUUCUCCUCCUGGAUCAACCAACAUAGUUGUCUACUAAUAAUUCUCAGGAGCAGCAGAUUUCACCAUGCAGCUUCAUUGGAAGGCAGGACCAAUUGUGCCAGUGGUUCAGAGGCUCCCUGUGGCUCCUAACGAUCAAAGAGAUCAGAAGUCUUCAAGAUCUAGGGGCCAGUGGGAUUGUUGGCCCAGCCCUUCUCCUCCUCCAAUGAACCAAGGGGCCAGUGGGAUCAUCAGUUGCAACUUCUCCUUGCCCCACUGACCUAGGGGGCCAACAGGAUCACUGGUCUCCCCUCCUGGCCCCACAACCUCGAAGACUGGGGAGACCAUCAGUGACCCUCCCCCCACCCAAAAGACCGCAGCAGCCCACAAAAAAUCAAGGAUCUCUGCCACCACCUGUAGAACCUUGGUGGGCUGGUGGGAGCCUCAGUAACUCCUAACCCACACAGAGGACCUCAACAGGCUUUUGACAAUGUGGUGAGUUUCUCCCUCAAAUAGAGGAUCUCAGUGGGUAAACAGGAGCAGCAAUGAACUCCCCCUGCUCCCCUCAGCUACAGGACCUUGGCAAGUCUGGCAAGAGUGUGGAUGAGUCUUUCUUCCAUGCACCAGGUGGGUUGAGGAGAGUGCCAACAAGGCAUUCCCCAACCCCAAGGAAAUCCAAAGGGCCUACAAGACAUCCGGUGACACAGCAGGGUCCCAGGUGAGGUGUACAUAUAGCCAGGUAGAUAUGACUGCCUGGAACAGCCUGAAGCUGUAGUAACAAUAGGAAUUAAGGGUUGACUUACAUCAUUACUCCACAACUAGUCGGCCUAGGAAGAAUAUAGGACUCACUCAACAGACCCCGAGGAGGAAUUCAGGUGACUGGCCCUUCCUGUCAAUAUGGGACCCAGCAGUUGGACAAACAUUAACCACAUAGUAGGACCCUGAGAUACAAUGACAGUUGAGACUAGUAAGAUUAAAAAGACCAAAUGAUUAACCCAAGAGGUGAAAAUGACAAAACAAUGAAGCAAAAUGCAAUCUCAAACAUCCAGUCCAUCAGGAACAAUUACAGGAGACAUUGAAAUAGAGGACAUUAGAAGUCAUACACCUGAAAUUUCUGAAAAGAUAGCAAAUAAAAUAAAGAAACAAAUCCAUGCAGCUAUAAUGGAAGUCAGAUUACAAAUAAUCUGUCAUGUAAAGAAAGAAAUGACAACAUUAACAAAGGAGUUACUCAUCAUAGUUAGAAAAGACAUAGAUAAAAAAAAGUACAGGAGUAUGAGAAAAUGAUGGAAACCUUGAAUGAACAGUAUAGAAAAGAAGUAGAAUGCAUGAAACAAAUUAAAAAAUAUCCAGGAAGUAAAAAAAUUCUAUUGAAAGCUGGUGGACUGAAUGAAGCUAAGGAUAGAAUUUAGGACCUUGAUGACAGGAUCACAGCUACCAAUCAUGAAAGGAAACAACUUUUAAAAAUAACAAGAUCACAUGAAAUGACAAUUCAACAACUUCAAGAUGAUGCAACAAGAAAUAAUAUGAUUAAUUGUCAAUGAAGAUGCAGGAGUCAAUGCAAAUGACAUUGUUAAUUAUUUGCAGAAGUAAUAACAGAAAAUUUCCCAAAUAUGGGGAAAGAAUCAGAUAUACAGAUAAGUGAGGCAUAUCGGAUGUCAAACAGUCAUAACCAAAAUAAAUCUACACCCAGAUAUAUAAUAAUUACAAAGAAAUCCAACAUAAGAACAGAAUACUAAAAUCUGUUAGAGAAAAGGCACAACUCACCUAUCAAGGAAAACCUAUUAGAAUCACAGCAGACUUCUUAGCACAAACCUUGAAGUCAUGACAAGCUUGGAGUAAAGUAUUUCAAGCCUUGAAAGAAAACAAUUUUCAACCCAGAUUGAUGUAUCCUGCAAAUUUUUCUUUGAAAAAUAAUGGAGAAAUAAGAUACUUCCAUGACAAAGAACAACUGAAGAAAUUCAUGUCCAACAAAACAACCCUAGAAAGAGUACUGAAAGACUUACUAGAUAGAUAUAAAAAUGACUACAAUUUACAGAACAACAACAGAAAGAAAUCACCAGACAGGGCUAGCAGUUAAACAAAGGGGAAAAGCAGGAAACCAUUAACAGGAAAAUAGUAUGACACAGUUGAUCCAGUACUUAUCAGUUACAUCUAUCAAUGUAAAUGGCCUUAAUUCACCAACUAAAAGAAAUAGGUUGACAAAGUGGAUCAGGAAAUAGGAUCCAACAAUAUGCUGUAUACAGGAAGCACAUCUGACUCAAAGGGAAACUCAUAGACUAAAAGUCAAAGGAUGGAAAACAAUAUUCCAUGCAGCAGAAACCCAGAAAAAAGUAGAGGUAUCUAUUCUGUUUGCAUGCAAUGUGAACUUCAAGCCAAAAAUGAUCAAAAGAGAUUAAGAAGGUCACCACAUACUUGUUAGUGGAAGAACUAACAAUCAUAAAUAUAUAUGCACAAAAUACAGGUGCACUGAACUAUAUAAAACAAAUACUAAUGGACAUGAAAAAUACACAAGAACACAAUCAUAAUAGGGGAACUUAAUGCCUCAUUGUCUCAAAGAGAUAGAUCAACUAGACAAAAGGUCAGCAAAAAAAAAAAAAGAAAAAGAAAAAAGAAAAAAAGAAAAACAGAAUUAAAUCAAACCUGUGAACAAAUGGACUUAGUAGACAUUGUCAGAAUGGUUCAUUCAACCACAGCAGAAUACACAUUCUUCUCAGCUGCACAUUCUCUAAAAUAGAUCAUAUAUUACCCCAUAGAACAUUCUUAAGUACAUGCAAAGGGAUUGAAAUUAUCCCAUGCAUGUUAUCUGACCAUAGGCAAUGAAAUUGGAAAUCAAUGGCAAAAGAAUCUGUAAAACCUACACAAACACAUAGAAACUAAAUAACAAUAUCCUGAAUAACCAAUGGAUGACAGGUGAAAUUAAAGAAGAAAUUAAACAAUACCUACAAUUCUCUGAAAAUGCAGAUACAACAUACUGAAUCCUGUGGUAAAAAAUAAAAGCAGUCCUAAGAGGGAAAUAUAUAACAAUGAAUUGUCACAUCAGGAAAACAGAAUGAGUCCAAAGAAACAACCUAAUGCUACACCUCAAGCUUCUAGAAAAAGAAGAACAAGUCAACCCCAAAGCUCAUAGAAGAGAGGAAAUUAUAAAGAUCAGAGCAGAAAUUAAUGCAAUUGAGACUAAGAAAACAAUACAAAAACUAAUGAAUCAAAGGGCUGGUUUGUUGAGAGAUUAAACAAAAUUGAUAAACCUCUAGCCAACCUUAUCAAGAAAAAGAAAGAAAAAGCUCAAAUUCAUGCAAUAAGGACUGAAAAGGGGGAAGUUACUACAGGUCCCGUGGAAAUUCAGAAGAUCAUGAAUACCUACUUUGAAAAAUCUUCACUCGUAUAGGUUAGAAAACACAGAGGAAGUGGACAGAUUGCUAGAAAUGUAGGAAUUACUAAAGCUGAAUCAAGAAGAUAUAGCAAUUUUGAUAACCCAUUGUCAGUUACUGAAAUGUGAUUAAAAAUUUACCAAUAAAGAAAAGCCAAGGACCUGAUGGAUUCAUGGCUGAAUUCUAUAUGAAAUUUAGAGAAGAUUUAAUGCAAAUAUGCCUCAAACUUUACAAUAAAAUUGAAAGGGAAGCAAUUCUUCCUAACUCAUUCUUGGAGGUAAGUAUAACUCUGAUACCUAAACCAGAGAAAGACUCAACUAAAAUGGAGAGCUAUAGGCUAAUCUUCCUAAUGAAUAUCAAUGCAAAAAUUCUCAAUAAAAUGCUAGCAAAUAUAAUGCAUCAAAUCAUCAAGAAGACUAUACAUCAUGACCAGGUGGGAUUUAUCUCAAGAAUAUAGGGAUAGUUUAACAUAUACAAAUCAAUAAAUGUAAUAUACCAUAUCAACAGAGCCAAAGACAAAAAUCACAUGAUCAUCUCAACAGAUGAAUAAAAAGCUUUUGAUAAAGUUUAACACUUGUUCAUGAUAAAAACCCUACAGAAACUUGGAAUAGAUGGCAUCUACCUUAAUUUUAUAAAGCCAUCUAUAACAAACCAACAGCUAACAUUAUGCUAAAUGGACAAAAACUGAAAGCUUGCACUCUAAAAUCAGGAACAAGACAAAGAUGACAAAGAUGACCACUACCACCACUCCUAUUCAAUAUAGUUCUGGAACCAUUAGCCAGAGAAAUUAGAUUAGAGAGAGAGAUAUAAAAACUAAGAAUAGGA